UUAAAUUAAUGAAUUAAUAAAUUUUUAAUAAAAAUAAUUAUAAAUUGGAGAUUAAGUAUAUUUUAUGGAAAAAUUUAAAUAAUUUAUAAGGUAUUAGUACUGUGAAGGAAAUUUGAAAUAUUUUGAAAUUUUAUUUUAAAGAAGUAUUAUUGAUUUGAGUACCUUGUGUAUCAGGGUUCAUUAAAAAUUUUAUAUAAAUAUAUAAAUCCCGAAAUAAAAUGAGUUAUUAUAUUAAAGUGGUUAAUGUUGAAUAAUUAUUAUAAAUAAUAUAAUGGAGGUGAAAUUCCAAGCGAAUUUUAUGAUAUCUGGUUUUUCAAGAAUUGAAUUGAAUUCAGUUAUAUUAAAGGUUAUUGAUUUUUUUGUUGAUAAUUAUUAAUGUAUUUAAUAAUAUUGGGGAUAAGCUCUAUAUUAAAUUUAUAUAAGAUGAUUAUGAUAUUGAAUUUUAUGAUUUGUAUUAUUAAUAAAUUAGAGAUUGUAAUAAAUCAUAAAAUAUGUAAUUAAAUUAAUUUUGAAUUAAAAGUUUUAUUGAAAUAUUGUUAAUAAUUGUUUAUAACAAGAAAUAAUGAUGGAAUUAGUAUAAUAUAUAUAUAUAAAUAAAUAAAUAUUGGUGAAAUAAUUAAUUUUAAGGAAUUAGGCAAAAAUAGUUUCCGCAUGUUUAUCAAAAACAUGUCUUUAAGAUUAAAAUUUAAAGUCUGGCCUGCUCUAUGAUGGAAUUAAAUGGCCGCGGUAAUUUGACCGUGCAAAGGUAGCAUAAUCAUUUGUCUUUUAAAUGAGGUCUGGAAUGAAAGGUUUGACGAGAGACUAACUGUCUCAGAAUUAAUUUUAGAAUUUAAAAUUUUAGUAAGAAUGCUGAAAUGAGUUUAUGGGACGAGAAGACCCUAUAGAGUUUUAUAAAUUAAAAGUUAUCGUUAGUUAUUAAGUAAUUGUUAAUUUAUUUUGUUGGGAGGACAUGAAGAUAUUAUAGCUCUUUAUUGUAAAUAUCAUUAAUUUAUGUUUAAUUGAUCCAGUAUUAUUGAUUAUAAGAUUAAACUACCUUAGGGAUAACAGCGUAAUUUCGUUAAAAAGUUCAUAUUUACAAUGGAGAUUGCGACCUCGAUGUUGGAUUAAGGAUUACUAAUAAAUGCAGAAGUUUAGUUAAGUGAGUCUGUUCGACUUUUAAAUCCUUACAUGAUCUGAGUUCAAACCGGCGUGAGCCAGGUUGGUUUCUAUCUAUAAAAAUUUAUUAUGUUUUAGUACGAAAGGACCAAACAUUAAAAUUAGAUUUAAUAAGUUGAAUAAAAUUAAAUA
rnacentral:rRNA from 1 species